UUUGGUUAAGUUAGAAAGGGCGCACGGUGGAUGCCUUGACACUAGGAGUCGAUGAAGGACGGGACUAACGCCGAUAUGCUUCGGGGAGCUGUAAGUAAGCUUUGAUCCGAAGAUUUCCGAAUGGGGAAACCCACCAUACGUAAUGGUAUGGUAUCCUUAUCUGAAUACAUAGGGUAAGGAAGACAGACCCAGGGAACUGAAACAUCUAAGUACCUGGAGGAAGAGAAAGCAAAUGCGAUUUCCUGAGUAGCGGCGAGCGAAACGGAACAUAGCCCAAACCAAGAGGCUUGCCUCUUGGGGUUGUAGGACAUUCUAUACGGAGUUACAAAGGAACGAGGUAGACGAAGCGACCUGGAAAGGUCCGUCGUAGAGGGUAACAACCCCGUAGUCGAAACUUCGUUCUCUCUUGAAUGUAUCCUGAGUACGGCGGAACACGUGAAAUUCCGUCGGAAUCUGGGAGGACCAUCUCCCAAGGCUAAAUACUCCCUAGUGAUCGAUAGUGAACCAGUACCGUGAGGGAAAGGUGAAAAGCACCCCGGAAGGGGAGUGAAAGAGAUCCUGAAACCGUGUGCCUACAAAUAGUCAGAGCCCGUUAACGGGUGAUGGCGUGCCUUUUGUAGAAUGAACCGGCGAGUUACGAUCCCGUGCGAGGUUAAGCUGAAGAGGCGGAGCCGCAGCGAAAGCGAGUCUGAAUAGGGCGUUUAGUACGUGGUCGUAGACCCGAAACCAGGUGAUCUACCCAUGUCCAGGGUGAAGUUCAGGUAACACUGAAUGGAGGCCCGAACCCACGCACGUUGAAAAGUGCGGGGAUGAGGUGUGGGUAGCGGAGAAAUUCCAAUCGAACCUGGAGAUAGCUGGUUCUCCCCGAAAUAGCUUUAGGGCUAGCCUUAAGUGUAAGAGUCUUGGAGGUAGAGCACUGAUUGGACUAGGGGUCCUCAUCGGAUUACCGAAUUCAGUCAAACUCCGAAUGCCAAUGACUUAUCCUUAGGAGUCAGACUGCGAGUGAUAAGAUCCGUAGUCAAAAGGGAAACAGCCCAGACCGCCAGCUAAGGUCCCAAAGUGUGUAUUAAGUGGAAAAGGAUGUGGAGUUGCUUAGACAACUAGGAUGUUGGCUUAGAAGCAGCCACCAUUUAAAGAGUGCGUAAUAGCUCACUAGUCGAGUGACUCUGCGCCGAAAAUGUACCGGGGCUAAAUACACCACCGAAGCUGCGGAUUGAUACCGAAUGGUAUCAGUGGUAGGGGAGCGUUCUAAGGACAGUGAAGUCAGACCGUAAGGACUGGUGGAGUGCUUAGAAGUGAGAAUGCCGGUAUGAGUAGCGAAAGACGGGUGAGAAUCCCGUCCACCGAAUGCCUAAGGUUUCCUGAGGAAGGCUCGUCCGCUCAGGGUUAGUCAGGACCUAAGCCGAGGCCGACAGGCGUAGGCGAUGGACAACAGGUUGAUAUUCCUGUACCACCUCUUUAUCGUUUGAGCAAUGGAGGGACGCAGAAGGAUAGAAGAAGCGUGCGAUUGGUUGUGCACGUCCAAGCAGUUAGGCUGAUAAGUAGGCAAAUCCGCUUAUCGUGAAGGCUGAGCUGUGAUGGGGAAGCUCCUUAUGGAGCGAAGUCUUUGAUUCCCCGCUGCCAAGAAAAGCUUCUAGCGAGAUAAAAGGUGCCUGUACCGCAAACCGACACAGGUAGGCGAGGAGAGAAUCCUAAGGUGUGCGAGAGAACUCUGGUUAAGGAACUCGGCAAAAUGACCCCGUAACUUCGGGAGAAGGGGUGCUUUCUUAACGGAAAGCCGCAGUGAAUAGGCCCAAGCGACUGUUUAGCAAAAACACAGCUCUCUGCGAAGCCGUAAGGCGAAGUAUAGGGGGUGACACCUGCCCGGUGCUGGAAGGUUAAGGAGAGGGGUUAGCGUAAGCGAAGCUCUGAACUGAAGCCCCAGUAAACGGCGGCCGUAACUAUAACGGUCCUAAGGUAGCGAAAUUCCUUGUCGGGUAAGUUCCGACCCGCACGAAAGGUGUAACGAUUUGGGCACUGUCUCAACCAGAGACUCGGUGAAAUUAUAGUACCUGUGAAGAUGCAGGUUACCCGCGACAGGACGGAAAGACCCCGUGGAGCUUUACUGUAGCCUGAUAUUGAAUUUUGGUACAGUUUGUACAGGAUAGGCGGGAGCCAUUGAAACCGGAGCGCUAGCUUCGGUGGAGGCGCUGGUGGGAUACCGCCCUGACUGUAUUGAAAUUCUAACCUACGGGUCUUAUCGACCCGGGAGACAGUGUCAGGUGGGCAGUUUGACUGGGGCGGUCGCCUCCUAAAGUGUAACGGAGGUGCCCAAAGGUUCCCUCAGAAUGGUUGGAAAUCAUUCGUAGAGUGCAAAGGCAUAAGGGAGCUUGACUGCGAGACCUACAAGUCGAGCAGGGACGAAAGUCGGGCUUAGUGAUCCGGUGGUUCCGCAUGGAAGGGCCAUCGCUCAACGGAUAAAAGCUACCCCGGGGAUAACAGGCUUAUCUCCCCCAAGAGUCCACAUCGACGGGGAGGUUUGGCACCUCGAUGUCGGCUCAUCGCAUCCUGGGGCUGUAGUCGGUCCCAAGGGUUGGGCUGUUCGCCCAUUAAAGCGGUACGCGAGCUGGGUUCAGAACGUCGUGAGACAGUUCGGUCCCUAUCCGUCGUGGGCGUAGGAAAUUUGAGAGGAGCUGUCCUUAGUACGAGAGGACCGGGAUGGACGCACCGCUGGUGUACCAGUUGUUCUGCCAAGGGCAUAGCUGGGUAGCUAUGUGCGGAAGGGAUAAGUGCUGAAAGCAUCUAAGCAUGAAGCCCCCCUCAAGAUGAGAUUUCCCAUAGCGUAAGCUAGUAAGAUCCCUGAAAAAUGAUCAGGUUGAUAGGUUCGAGGUGGAAGCAUGGUGACAUGUGGAGCUGACGAAUACUAAUAGAUCGAGGACUUAACCAUAUAA
rnacentral:rRNA from 1 species